UCCCACAGUGCUGUAUCUGACUAGGUAGC
rnacentral:piRNA from 1 species